UACGUAGGGGGCAAGCGUUGUCCGGAUUUAUUGGGCGUAAAGAGCGUGUAGGCGGCCAGGUAGGUCCGUUGGUGAAAACUCGAGGCUCAACCUCGAGACGCCGAUGGAAACCAUCUGGCUAGAGUCCGGAAGAGGAGAGGUGGAAUUCCCGGUGUAGCGGUGAAAUGCGCAGAUAUCGGGAAGAACACCCGUGGCUAAGGCGGCUCUCUAGUACGGUAUGACGCUGAGACGCGAAAGCGUGGGGAGCGAACAGG
rnacentral:rRNA from 1 species